rnacentral:rRNA from 1 species
UACGUAGGGAGCAAGCGUUUGUCCGGAAUCAUUGGGCGUAAAGCGCGCGUAGGCGGCCUCGUAAGUCCGUUGUGAAAGUCAAAGGCUCAACCUUUGAAAGCCGAUGGAUACUGUGAGGCUAGAGUCCGGAAGAGGCGAGUGGAAUUCCUGGUGUAGCGGUGGAAUGCGCAGAUAUCAGGAGGAACACCAAUAGCGAAGGCAGCUCGCUGGGACGGUACUGACGCUAAGGCGCGAAAGCGUGGGGAGCAAACAGG